AUCAGCUGGAAAUCCUCCUGGAGAGGGACAGUGAGAGACUUAUGUUGGACCCGGAUAGAGAAGUUCUGGUUCUCCUCGGUGGGUACAAUGUCUUCUAACAGUACCCUCCCAAAAAAACAAAGAAAGAGCAGCACUUCCAAAGAAAUUGAGUACAGCUUAAAUGAAAGGGUCCAAAGAAGCUCAGCUAAACUUAUAAAGGAAAUUUGCAUUUCUGUGAAGUACAGCCUCCAGAAAUUUUACAAAUACGAAGGCAAGGACAACACUUCUACAAAGCUGAAGGUCAAAACACAAACUUCUACGGAGAACUGUGCCC